AGGUCUUCGGAUCGUAAAACUCUGUUAUUAGGGAAGAACAAAUGUGUAAGUAACUAUGCACGUCUUGACGGUACCUAAUCAGAAAGCCACGGCUAACUACGUGCCAGCAGCCGCGGUAAUACGUAGGUGGCAAGCGUUAUCCGGAAUUAUUGGGCGUAAAGCGCGCGUAGGCGGUUUUUUAAGUCUGAUGUGAAAGCCCACGGCUCAACCGUGGAGGGUCAUUGGAAACUGGAAAACUUGAGUGCAGAAGAGGAAAGUGGAAUUCCAUGUGUAGCGGUGAAAUGCGCAGAGAUAUGGAGGAACACCAGUGGCGAAGGCGACUUUCUGGUCUGUAACUGACGCUGAUGUGCGAAAGCGUGGGGAUCAAACAGGAUUAGAUACCCUGGUAGUCCACGCCGUAAACGAUGAGUGCUAAGUGUUAGGGGGUUUCCGCCCCUUAGUGCUGCAGCUAACGCAUUAAGCACUCCGCCUGGGGAGUACGACCGCAAGGUUGAAACUCAAAGGAAUUGACGGGGACCCGCACAAGCGGUGGGAGCAUUUGGUUUAAUUCGAAGCAACGCGAAGAACCUUACCAAAUUUUGACAUCCUCUGACCCCUCUAGAGAUAGAGUUUUCCCCUUCGGGGGACAGAGUGACAGGUGGUGCAUGGUUGUCGUCAGCUCGUGUCGUGGAGAUGUUGGGUUAAGUCCCGCAACGAGCGCAACCCUUAAGCUUAGUUGCCAUCAUUAAGUUGGGCACUCUAAGUUGACUGCCGGUGACAAACCGGAGGAAGGUGGGGGAUGACGUCAAAUCAUCAUGCCCCUUAUGAUUUGGGCU
rnacentral:rRNA from 2 species